rnacentral:rRNA from 1 species
AACUAUAACGGUCCUAAGGUAGCGAAAUUCCUUGUCAGGUAAGUUCUGACCCGCAUGAAAGGCGUAAUGAUUUGGGCACUGUCUCAACAGCCCGCCCGGCGAAAUUGUAGUACCGGUGAAGAUGCCGGUUACCCGCGACAAGACGGAAAGACCCCAUGGAGCUUUACUGUAGCCUAAUAUUGGGUUUCGAUGUUGCAUGCACAGGAUAGAUGGGACACUGGGAAACAAUCGCUUUGGCGGUUGCGGAGUGGCCGUUGGGAUACCAUCCUUGCGAUAUUGGAAUUCUAACCUGCGGCUCUGAAUCGAGUCGGGGGACAUUGUUAGGUGGGCAGUUUGACUGGGGCGGUCGCCUCCUAAAAAGUAACGGAGGCGUUCAAAGGUUCGCUCAGCUUGAACGGAAAUCAAGCAAAAGAGUGCAAACGCAGAAGCGAGCCUAACUGCGAGACUGACGGGUCGAGCAGUAACGAAAGUUGGAGUUAGUGAUCCGGUGGUAUGUGAGUGGAAAUGCCAUCGCUCAACGGAUAAAAGUUACCCUGGGGAUAACAGGCUGAUCUCCCCCAAGAGUCCACAUCGACGGGGAGGUUUGGCACCUCGAUGUCGGCUCAUCGCAUCCUGGGGCUGUAUUCGGUCCCAAGGGUUUGGCUGUUCGCCAAUUAAAGCGGUACGCGAGCUGGGUUCAGAACGUCGUGAGACAGUUCGGUCCCUAUCUGUCGUGGGCGCAGGAUAUUUGAUGGGAGCUGUCCCUAGUACGAGAGGACCGGGACGGACGUACCUCUGGCGCACCAGUUGUUCCGCCAGGAGCAUAGCUGGGCAACUACGUACGGAUCGGAUAAACGCUGAAAGCAUCUAAGCGUGAAGCCGACCCAAAGAUAAGAUGUCCCAUUGUUUUAAACAAGUAAGACCCCUUGAAGACUACAAGGUUGAUAGGCACGAUGUGUAAGUGGAGCGAUCCAUUCAGCAAGCGUGUACUAAUAGGUCGAGGGCUUGACCAC